AUUGAACGCUGGCGGCAUGCUUUACACAUGCAAGUCGAACGGUAACAGGCCGCAAGGUGCUGACGAGUGGCGCACGGGUGAGUAAUGCAUCGGAACGUGCCCAGUCGUGGGGGAUAACUACUCGAAAGAGUAGCUAAUACCGCAUACGAUCUAUGGAUGAAAGCGGGGGACCGUAGGGCCUCGCGCGAUUGGAGCGGCCGAUGUCAGAUUAGGUAGUUGGUGGGGUAAAGGCUCACCAAGCCAACGAUCUGUAGCUGGUCUGAGAGGACAACCAGCCACACUGGGACUGAGACACGGCCCAGACUCCUACGGGAGGCAGCAGUGGGGAAUUUUGGACAAUGGGCGCAAGCCUGAUCCAGCAAUGCCGCGUGCAGGAAGAAGGCCUUCGGGUUGUAAACUGCUUUUGUACGGAACGAAACGGCUCUGGUUAAUACCCGGGGCUAAUGACGUUACCGUAAGAAUAAGCACCGGCUAACUACGUG
rnacentral:rRNA from 1 species